rfam:Equus caballus chromosome 24, whole genome shotgun sequence.
UUACUUUAUUCUCCUGAGCUUGUGGGUUCCAUCCCCCCAUCCAGAGGGCAACUGCCCAUCUGACUUCCAUUACAGUCAUGCAACAAGAAAGACAGCAAGAGUAAAAUGAGGAACAUAGAAGCAAAUUU